GAUGAACGCUGGCGGCGUGCCUAAUACAUGCAAGUCGAGCGAACAGAUGAGAAGCUUGCUUCUCUGAUGUUAGCGGCGGACGGGUGAGUAACACGUGGGUAACCUACCUAUAAGACUGGGAUAACUCCGGGAAACCGGGGCUAAUACCGGAUAAUAUUUUGAACCGCAUGGUUCGAUAGUGAAAGACGGUUUCGGCUGUCACUUAUAGAUUGACCCGCGCCGUAUUAGCUAGUUGGUAAGGUAACGGCUUACCAAGGCGACGAUACGUAGCCGAACUGGGAGGGUGAUCGGCCACACUGGAACUGAGACACGGUCCAGACUCCUACGGGAGGCAGCAGUAGGGAAUCUUCCGCAAUGGGCGAAAGCCUGACGGAGCAACGCCGCGUGAGUGAUGAAGGUCUUCGGAUCGUAAAACUCUGUUGUUAGGGAAGAACAAAUUUGUUAGUAACUGAACAAGUCUUGACGGUACCUAACCAGAAAGCCACGGCUAACUACGUGCCAGCCGCCGCAGUAA
rnacentral:rRNA from 1 species